rnacentral:rRNA from 1 species
GACGAACGCUGGCGGCGUGCUUAACACAUGCAAGUCGAACGGAAAGGCCCUGCUUUUGUGGGGUGUUCGAGUGGCGAACGGGUGAGUAACACGUGAGUAACCUGCCCUUGACUUUGGGAUAACUUCAGGAAACUGGGGCUAAUACCGGAUAGGAGCUCCUGCUGCAUGGUGGGGGUUGGAAAGUUUCGGCGGUUGGGGAUGGACUCGCGGCUUAUCAGCUUGUUGGUGGGGUAGUGGCUUACCAAGGCUUUGACGGGUAGCCGGCCUGAGAGGGUGACCGGCCACAUUGGGACUGAGGUACGGCCCAGACUCCUACGGGAGGCAGCAGUGGGGAAUAUUGCACAAUGGGCGGAAGCCUGAUGCAGCAACGCCGCGUGCGGGAUGACGGCCUUCGGGUUGUAAACCGCUUUCGCCUGUGACGAAGCGUGAGUGACGGUAAUGGGUAAAGAAGCACCGGCUAACUACGUG